UAGCUCUGAUUUCUAUUAAGUCACGCAUAAAUAUUUCGCCUUUUAGUGAAGAUUUCUGUGGAGAGGAACUUCAAUGAGUUUGAUGUAUUUUCGUGAGCUUUGCUUUGGUAAAGCU